rnacentral:rRNA from 1 species
GUCCACGCCGUAAACGAUGGAUGCUAGCCGUCGGGGAGCAUGCUCUUCGGUGGCGCAGCUAACGCAAUAAGCAUCCCGCCUGGGGAGUACGAUCGCAAGAUUAAAAACUCAAAGGAAUUGACGGGGGCCCGCACAAGCGGUGGAGCAUGUGGUUCAAUUCGAAGCAACGCGAAGAACCUUACCAGGCCUUGACAUCCCGGUCGCGGCCCCUUGAAAGAGGGGCCUUCAGUUCGGCUGGACCGGUGACAGGUGCUGCAUGGCUGUCGU